rnacentral:rRNA from 1 species
UACGGAGGAUCCAAGCGUUAUCCGGAAUUACUGGGCGUAAAGAGUUGCGUAGGUGGCAUAGUAAGCAAGUAGUGAAAUCGUGAGGCUCAACCUCAUACCCAUUACUUGAACUGCUAAGCUUGAGCAUGAGAGAGGUAGAUGGAAUUUCUAGUGUAGGAGUGAAAUCCGUAGAUAUUAGAAGGAACACCGAUGGCGUAGGCAGUCUACUGGCUCAUUGCUGACACUAAGGCACGAAAGCGUGGGGAGCGAACGGG